rnacentral:tRNA from 2 species
UGGGCUAUAGCCAAGCGGUAAGGCAACGGACUUUGACUCCGUCAUGCGCGGGUUCGAAUCCAGCUAGCCCAGCCA